rnacentral:rRNA from 1 species
UACAGAGGGUGCGAGCGUUGUCCGGAAUCACUGGGCGUAAAGGGCGCGUAGGUGGCGCUCCAAGUCUGUGGUGAAAGCUCGAUGCUUAACAUCGAGUCGGCCACGGAUACUGGGGGGCUCGAGCACUGUAGGGGCAGAUGGAAUUCCGGGUGUAGCGGUGGAAUGCGUAGAGAUCCGGAAGAACACCGGUGGCGAAGGCGGUCUGCUGGGCAGUUGCUGACACUGAGGCGCGACAGCGUGGGGAGCAAACAGG